GACGAACGCUGGCGGCGUGCUUAACACAUGCAAGUCGAACGGAAAGGCCCCCAUCUUGGUGGGGGUGCUCGAGUGGCGAACGGGUGAGUAACACGUGGGUGAUCUGCCCUGUACUUCGGGAUAAGCUUGGGAAACUGGGUCUAAUACCGGAUAGGACCAUGGUUUAGUGUCUCAUGGUGGAAAGAUUAUUGUUUUGGUGCAGGAUGAGCUCGCGGCCUAUCAGCUUGUUGGUGGGGUAAUGGCCUACCAAGGCGUCGACGGGUAGCCGGCCUGAGAGGGUGGACGGCCACAUUGGGACUGAGAUACGGCGCAGACUCCUACGGGAGGCAGCAGCGGGGAAUAUUGGACAAUGGGCGCAAGGCUGAUGCAGCGACGCCGCGUGGGGGAUGACGGCCUUCGGGUUGUAAACUCCUUUCGUUAGGGACGAAGCCGCACUUUUUUUGGGUGUGGUGACGGUACCUUUGUUAAGAAGCACCGGCUAACUACGUG
rnacentral:rRNA from 1 species